rnacentral:rRNA from 1 species
ACACGGGGGGGGCAAACGUUGUUCGGAAUCACUGGGCGUAAAGCGUACGCAGGUGGCUAGGUCAGUCGGAUGUGAAAUCCCCGGGCUCAACCUGGGAAUUGCAUUCGAUACUGGCAAGCUAGAGUAUGGUAGAGGGAAGUGGAAUUUCAGGUGUAGCGGUGAAAUGCGUAGAUAUCUGAAGGAACAUCAGUGGCGAAGGCGACUUCCUGGACCAAUACUGACGCUGAGGUGCGAAAGCGUGGGGAGCAAACAGAAUUAGAAACCCCGGUAGUCC